AUUGAACGCUGGCGGCAUGCUUUACACAUGCAAGUCGAACGGUAACAGGCCGCAAGGUGCUGACGAGUGGCGAACGGGUGAGUAAUGCAUCGGAACGUGCCCAGUCGUGGGGGAUAACUACUCGAAAGAGUAGCUAAUACCGCAUACGAUCUAUGGAUGAAAGCGGGGGACCGUAAGGCCUCGCGCGAUUGGAGCGGCCGAUGUCAGAUUAGGUAGUUGGUGGGGUAAAGGCUCACCAAGCCAACGAUCUGUAGCUGGUCUGAGAGGACGACCAGCCACACUGGGACUGAGACACGGCCCAGACUCCUACGGGAGGCAGCAGUGGGGAAUUUUGGAUAAUGGGCGCAAGCCUGAUCCAGCAAUGCCGCGUGCAGGAAGAAGGCCUUCGGGUUGUAAACUGCUUUUGUACGGAACGAAACGGCUCUGGUUAAUACCCGGGGCUAAUGACGGUACCGUAAGAAUAAGCACCGGCUAACUACGUG
rnacentral:rRNA from 1 species